GAUAAUAGAAAUUGGGGUUGGGGAUUUAGCUCAGUGGUAGAGCUCUUGCCUAGCAAGCGCAAGGCCCUGGGUUCGGUCCCCAGCUCCGAAAAAAAGAAAAGAAAAAAAAAAAGAUAAUAGAAAUUAAUUCCCAUGAUAGUUAUGGAUCCAUCUAUAAACGUGAAGGUCCCAAGAAUCUGGUAGUAUAAAUUUCAGUCCAAGUUUAAAGAAUAGACAAAAGAAGAGCUUAAAUAGUGUAAGUUGAAGUUGGAAGGCAGAGGGUUUUUCAUGGCUCAACCAUACAACCAAAGACUGUGAUUCAGUCUCUUUUGACUUUUGCAUUCUGUACAGACCAGAAAACAUUUGUGGACCUCUACCCACUCUGGGGAAUGUGGUCUCCAUUACAAAGUAUAUGAUUCAAGUGACCAUACCAUCUGGAAACACCAUCAUAGAAACACCAAGAAGCAGCACUUACUGGAGCAUCUUGAUGCCACAUGGUUUCAUCAAGUUGACACAGCAAAUUUACCAUUACAGAAGGCUGCCUAGAGGAACACAGCAUGGGGAGUGCCUUAGUUGCUGUCCUUUUGCUGUAAUAGGACAUCAUGACCAACAAGGAGAGUGUCUUAGAUGCUAUCCUAUUGCUGUAAUUACAAAAGAAAGGGUAUUUGGGGUUUAUAGUUUCAGAGGGGUAGAGUCCAUGCCCAUCAUAGUGGGGAGCAUGAUAGCAGGCAGGCAGGCAUGGCACUGGGGCAGUAACUGGGGGAAUCACAUCUUUAUCCCUAAUCAGGAGGCAAAGAGAGAUGACCAGGAGUGCUGUGGGCUUUAGAAACCUCAAAGCCAACCCCUAGCAACACUCCACUUUAACAAAGCCAACUCCUAGUAACACAGCCCCUUCAACAAGGCUACACAUUCUAAUUCUUUAGUGCCACCAACAGGACAAAAUGAUCAAAUAUAUGAGCUCAGGGGAGUGACUCAUAUUCAAACCACCACAGAGACAUAAUCCAGCACACACUCACAUGCCCCUCUCUAAUAUGAGACUGAAGCCUUUGCUUCACAAGGACCCAUGUCACACUCUGAAGGAAAGACGGAUGGCCUAGUGGACAAGCAAGGCAAGUUUACAAUGUCACAUACAUGCAGAGGCCACUCCAAGGGGCCAUUAUUAUAUUUUAAAAAUUAUUUUUAUGUAUUUAUGCAUGAAUAUAAUACAUUUUAAACUUUUAACACCCUGUUCCUCUUUGCACUUUUGACUCUCCUGCUGUACCUCUUUUUCUCUCCCUCAAACUCUCCUUCCUACUUUUCUAUCUUUUUGUGUGCCCUACUGUGUUUAAUUAGUAUUAACUGCUCAAGUACAACUGGGAUGUUAUUUAUUAAAGCAUUGCAAAAAUCAGUAGCUACACCAUUUAGGAAAGAAAACAACAGUAGUUCCUUCAGAAAUUAACUGUCAGUAGUCCCUCAGGGAAUGAUGGGGACCCAUGGGCUUCCUUCAAGAGGCCACAAUUCUUGUCUCUUCUCUAAAAGAAUGACUCUAGGAAUGAUGGGAAGAAGACUCUUUAGAGAUAGCCAUGCUUUUAUAUCUGGAUGCAUCCAUCCUCCCUGCAGACUGAUUUGAUCGAGAACUAUUCUGAACUACGGUUGGUCAUCAGCAUCUUCUCAAAAGUUCCAGGCUAGCAUGGUACCUGGAUCACCUCGAGACUCCAUGUAUUAGUCAGGGGUUCUCUAGAGCCACAGAACUUAUGGGUAGUCUCUAUAUGGUAAGGGAAUUUGUUAUGAUAACUUACAGUCUGUAGUCCAACUCCCCAACAAUGGUCGGCUGUGAAUGGAAGUCCAAGGGUCUAGUAGUUGCUCACUCCCACAAGGCAAGCAGGUGAAGAAGAGUGAAUCUUCCUUCUUCCAAUGUCCUUGGCCCAGAUUAAAGUGUGUACCACCACACCUGGAUCUGGGACUUGCUUUGUCCCAGAUGACCUUGAACUCAGUGGUCUCCUGGGAUUCGUAGCCGCCAUGCCUCAAGAUCUCCAUGACAAGAUCCAGGUCAGAAACUUGUACCUCCUAGCCUCAAGAUCUGCAUCACAGAUGAAUGAAUAGCCCACGGGAACUUCUGACAAGUUAAAAGAGAAGGGAACUUCUGAAGACAUCACUGUUUUCCAAGUACUAAUGUAUGAAGACUUUUCUACAAAGAAAAAAUGGAGCAGCGUGUAUAAAAUACAGAAAUAAACACAGAAUAUCAUGGUUCAUAAUAGACCGCUAGAAAGGACUUGAGAGAAUCGUGAACUUGGCAUUAGUGUAUUUAGACAUAUGCUUUGAAGACUGGAGUGAAGAAACAGAAAGAAUGGUCUCCUGCCAUUUGGGUAAUACAUUUCGAGUCUCUGUUCUAUGGUAGGAGAUCCAGCCUUGUUGGAGUAGGUGUGGCCUUGCUGGAGGAAAGGUGUCACUGUAGGGGUAGGCUUUGAGACCUUCCUCCUAGCUGCCUGGAGGACAUUGGUCCUUUUCUGGCUGUCUUCUGAUCAAGAUGCAGAACUUCAGCUCCUUCUCCAGCACCAUGCCUGCCUGGAUGUUGCCAUGCUUCCCAUCUUGAUGAUAAUGGACUGAACAUCUGAACCCAUAAGCCAGCUCCAAUUAAAUGUUGUCUUUUAUAAAAGUUGCCUUGGUCAUACCUGUUCACAGCAAUGGAAACCCUAAGACAGCGUCUAUCAACUUAAUAUAAGGAACAACAAAAUGAUCCACCACCAAGCAUGUGUUUUUAGCAGGUCUUAUCAAAUGGGAAAUAUGUCUAGUGCUUUAUAAUUUGAUCCCUAACUCCAGCCAAGUAAUGACCAGUGUCCCACCUUAGAUUUCCUAAAUGUCAGUUCUCUCAUUCUAAGACUACAAAAAUGGACUAUGAAGUCAACACCCCUUAGCUAUUCAUAUUACCUAGAACACAGAAAAUGCCACGUGCUCAGAACCUAUUCAAACGAUCUCUUUUUAAUUACUUGCUUGCCAUGCUUAAGACAUUGUGGGUUUAUGUCAUUCAGUGCUGGCUAUUUUUAGGUUCUUGUAAUCGUACAAGUACCUUGAUGAAGUAAAUACUAUCAUUCUCUAAUUUUACAGAUGAUCUGUUUUGCGUUGAUUCUGAACUCACAUUGAAUAGCUCCUUGUCAACUGUAAAUAGCAAUUUUCAAAUCGGCUUCUGACAACAGCUGCAAUCAAACGUGGAGGGAGGGUUGCUGACACCUGUGCACACGUGACAAUCCUACCAAUCUUUCCUUCCUUCUGCCAUUGUUCUCUUGACUGUAGGCUCUUUUCAAGGCUCCCUUUUGGCCAGUCAGUAAACAAACCCAAAAGAAAUACAAAUGACUGCAGAAAUAUCUUACUUAGUAAAGACCAUGUUGCACAAGCGCGAAGAUGCAGCACACACAUAAAAAAGAAAAAACCUAAAUGGUGGUAUAGAUAUAUAGCCUCAGUGUUUAGGAAAUUGAGACAAAUGGACCCCUGUGGCUUAGUAGCCUGGCCUAAUUGGAAAACUCAGGUUCCAAUAAGAGACCUUGUCAUAAAACCAGACUCCUAAACAAUGACACCUUCUGGCCUCCACGUAUCAUCAUCAUGCAUCAGCACACACACGCGCGCACACACACACACACACACACACACACACACACACACACACACACACACACGAAAUACAAGACAGGUUGAUGCUCAUCAACA